rnacentral:rRNA from 1 species
GAUGAACGCUGGCGGCGUGCUUAACACAUGCAAGUCGAACGGAAAGGCUCCUGCUUGCAGGGGUACUCGAGUGGCGAACGGGUGAGUAACACGUGGGUGAUCUGCCCAGCACUUCGGGAUAAGCCUGGGAAACUGGGUCUAAUACCGGAUAGGACGAUGGUUUGGAUGCCAUUGUGGAAAGUUUUUUCGGUGUGGGAUGAGCUCGCGGCCUAUCAGCUUGUUGGUGGAGUAAUGGCCUACCAAGGCGUCGACGGGUAGCCGGCCUGAGAGGGUGUACGGCCACAUUGGGACUGAGAUACGGCCCAGACUCCUACGGGAGGCAGCAGUGGGGAAUAUUGCACAAUGGGCGCAAGCCUGAUGCAGCGACGCCGCGUGGGGGAUGACGGCCUUCGGGUUGUAAACUCCUUUCGCUAGGGACGAAGCGCAAGUGACGGUACCUGGAGAAGAAGCACCGGCUAACUACGUG